rnacentral:rRNA from 1 species
UACGAAGGGGGCUAGCGUUGCUCGGAUUGACUGGGCGUAAAGGGCGCGUAGGCGGAUAGUACAGUCAGGCGUGAAAUUCCUGGGCUCAACCUGGGGGCUGCGUUUGAUACGUAUUGUCUGGAGUUCGGAAGAGGGUCGUGGAAUUCCCAGUGUAGAGGUGAAAUUCGUAGAUAUUGGGAAGAACACCGGUGGCUAAGGCGGCGACCUGGUCCGAUACUGACGCUGAGGCGCGAAAGCGUGGGGAGCAAACAGG